UCUGACGUUUCUGUUUCCUAUACGAAAACCAUUUUCGAAGACUUGGACGUUCAAGUCUUCGAAAAUGGUUUUCGUAUAGGAAACCGAAACGUCAGACAA